rnacentral:rRNA from 1 species
UACAGAGGCCACAAGCGUUAGGCGGAAUCACUGGGCUUAAAGCGUGUGUAGGCGGGUUGGUAAGUACCUUGUGAAAUCCCACGGCUCAACCGUGGAAUGGCUUGGUAUACUGCCGAUCUUGAGUCAUCUAGGGGCAACCGGAACAGAUGGUGGAGCGGUGAAAUGCAUAGAUAUCAUCUGGAACGCCAAUGGUGCAGACAGGUUGCUGGGGAUGAACUGACGCUGAGGCACGAAAGCCAGGGGAGCAAACGGG